rnacentral:rRNA from 1 species
UACGUAGGGGGCAAGCGUUGUCCGGAAUCAUUGGGCGUAAAGCGCACGUAGGCGGUUUGUUAAGUCGGAUGUGAAAUCCCUCGGCUCAACUGAGGAAGUGCACCCGAAACUGGCAGGCUUGAGUACUAAAGAGGGUCGCGGAAUUCCCGGUGUAGAGGUGAAAUUCGUAGAUAUCGGGAGGAACACCGGUGGCGAAGGCGGCGACCUGGGUAGAUACUGACGCUGAGGUGCGAAAGCGUGGGGAGCAAACAGG